rnacentral:lncRNA from 10 species
GUCUUCUGGCCUCCAUCUUUCUCUCGUGCUGGAUGUUCCUGUCCUCAAACAUCAGACUCCAAGUUCUUCAGCUUUUGGACUCUUGGACCUACACCAGUGGUUUGCCAGGGGCUCUUGGGCCUUUAGCCACAGACUAAAGACUACAUUUUUUUUUUUCGGCUUUCCUACUUUUCAGAUGUGGGGACUUGGACUGGAUUCCUUCCUCCUUAGAUUGCAGACGGCCAACUGUGGGACUUCAUCUUGUGAUUGUGUUCUCAGAUACUCUCUAGGAUGUUUGGGUUCUUAAAGUUGCCUGCUCUUUGGCUGGGCACCAUGGCCUUGGCUCACCGCCCAGCCUCAGGGUUCUAAUCGCAGACACACAUUUAGCAUGGGACUCAUCACACUACAAAAGCUCUGGAAGCCAGAAGUUUGAAAUGAAUUUGACUUGGCUGAAAUCAAGGUGCCAGCAAGAUCCCAUUGCCUUUGGAGGCUCUCAGAAGCAAUCAGUUUCUUGCCUCUUCCAGCCUCUGGUGGCUGUCAGUAUUCCUUGGCUUGUGGCUACAUCACUCCAGUCUUCAAGGUCUUGAUGAUGGACUACCAAAAAAGGCCAAGAACAAAGCAGGCAGCCUGAGAAAGCCACCUCUUGUGGUACACUGAAGCAAAACUGUCUGCUCCUCAGGCUCUUCUCAUACAGUGGUAAAACUGAAAGCCACUUUGAGAGAAACAUAAAAUAUGAGUGUUCUGGAUCUCUGACAAAGAUACACAGCUGCUUAGGGAAAGGUAGUGGAAAAGCCACCUGCUCCUAAAGGUGGGGAAGAAAACACCCCUGCUCCACCACAAGCAUUUCAACAAAUAACAGCAAGUAAGCUACUUCCCAUGGAAGAAGGGACAGAAAACCGUAUUCCCAAGCAAACGUUCAUUGGGGGAGAAUUUAAAGCAAAAGCUACCUGAUCCAAUGAAAGAUGCAGUGAAAUUAAUCAGACCCAGGUUCCUGCACUGAUGUAAAUCAGAAGUCCUUUAUCUCUAGAGGAAGGGCAGGACAUUCAGUCCCACAGAAGAUGCUCAUAAACACUAAGAAAUAUAAUACCCCAGGGUUCUGGAGAAUGUACAGGAUCAUUGACAAAGUCCCAGUCUCAACAUCAGGCACAGAGAACUUUCCAGAACCUGAGCUGGAGAAGGCAAAUCAGAACAUUAAUUCACUCAACAACAAGCUUUAUGCUAUAUAACAAGAAAUAGCAGUGUUCUACUGAGGAAAAGAAAAAUGCAUAAGAACACAGGGGUAAAUCUCCUUGAUUUUCAGACCCCCACAGAGAUUAUAAAAU